UUUACGGAGAGUUUGAUCCUGGCUCAGGAUGAACGCUGGCGGCGUGCUUAACACAUGCAAGUCGAACGAUGAAGCCCAGCUUGCUGGGUGGAUUAGUGGCGAACGGGUGAGUAACACGUGAGUAACCUGCCCUUGACUCUGGGAUAAGCCUGGGAAACUGGGUCUAAUACCGGAUAGGAACGUCCACCGCAUGGUGGGUGUUGGAAAGAUUUAUCGGUCAUGGAUGGACUCGCGGCCUAUCAGCUUGUUGGUGAGGUAAUGGCUCACCAAGGCGACGACGGGUAGCCGGCCUGAGAGGGUGACCGGCCACACUGGGACUGAGACACGGCCCAGACUCCUACGGGAGGCAGCAGUGGGGAAUAUUGCACAAUGGGCGAAAGCCUGAUGCAGCGACGCCGCGUGAGGGAUGACGGCCUUCGGGUUGUAAACCUCUUUCAGUAGGGAAGAAGCGAAAGUGACGGUACCUGCAGAAGAAGCACCGGCUAACUACGUGCCAGCAGCCGCGGUAAUACGUAGGGUGCGAGCGUUAUCCGGAAUUAUUGGGCGUAAAGAGCUCGUAGGCGGUUUGUCGCGUCUGUCGUGAAAGUCCGGGGCUUAACCCCGGAUCUGCGGUGGGUACGGGCAGACUAGAGUGCAGUAGGGGAGACUGGAAUUCCUGGUGUAGCGGUGGAAUGCGCAGAUAUCAGGAGGAACACCGAUGGCGAAGGCAGGUCUCUGGGCUGUAACUGACGCUGAGGAGCGAAAGCAUGGGGAGCGAACAGGAUUAGAUACCCUGGUAGUCCAUGCCGUAAACGUUGGGCACUAGGUGUGGGGACCAUUCCACGGUUUCCGCGCCGCAGCUAACGCAUUAAGUGCCCCGCCUGGGGAGUACGGCCGCAAGGCUAAAACUCAAAGGAAUUGACGGGGGCCCGCACAAGCGGCGGAGCAUGCGGAUUAAUUCGAUGCAACGCGAAGAACCUUACCAAGCUUGACAUGUUCUCGAUCGCCGUAGAGAUACGGUUUCCCCUUUGGGGCGGGAUC
rnacentral:rRNA from 1 species